rnacentral:rRNA from 1 species
UAGGGAAUCUUCGGCAAUGGACGGAAGUCUGACCGAGCAACGCCGCGUGAGUGAAGAAGGUUUUCGGAUCGUAAAGCUCUGUUGUAAGAGAAGAACGAGUGUGAGAGUGGAAAGUUCACACUGUGACGGUAUCUUACCAGAAAGGGACGGCUAACUACGUGCCAGCAGCCGCGGUAAUACGUAGGUCCCGAGCGUUGUCCGGAUUUAUUGGGCGUAAAGCGAGCGCAGGCGGUUAGAUAAGUCUGAAGUUAAAGGCUGUGGCUUAACCAUAGUACGCUUUGGAAACUGUUUAACUUGAGUGUAAGAGGGGAGAGUGGAAUUCCAUGUGUAGCGGUGAAAUGCGUAGAUAUAUGGAGGAACACCGGUGGCGAAAGCGGCUCUCUGGCUUGUAACUGACGCUGAGGCUCGAAAGCGUGGGGAGCAAACAGGAUUAGAUACCCUGGUAGUCCACGCCGUAAACGAUGAGUGCUAGGUGUUAGGCCCUUUCCGGGGUUUAGUGCCGCAGCUAACGCAUUAAGCACUCCGCCUGGGGAGUACGACCGCAAGGUUG